CUUUUGUGUAAAAGGAGAGAAGGGUAGCACUCCCCUUGAUAAGGAUAGAAGAGGUCCUAUUGACCUUUACAACACAUACCGUCAAGGUAUUGCCACCUACUCUGUGGCAUCUAACCAUGUUUUUAG
rnacentral:ncRNA from 1 species